rnacentral:rRNA from 1 species
UACGGGGGGGGCAAGCGUUGUUCGGAAUUACUGGGCGUAAAGGGCUCGUAGGCGGCCAACUAAGUCAGACGUGAAAUCCCUCGGCUUAACCGAGGAACUGCCUGCCAGACUGGAUGGCUUGAGACCGGGAGAGGUGAGUGGAAUUCCAGGUGUAGCGGUGAAAUGCGUAGAUAUCUGGAGGAACACCGGUGGCGAAGGCGGCAUCCUGGACCGAGAUUGACGCUGAGGCGCGAAAGCCAGGGGAGCAAACGGG